rnacentral:rRNA from 1 species
AGUGAACGCUGGCGGUAGGCCUAACACAUGCAAGUCGAACGGCAGCACAGUAAGAGCUUGCUCUUACGGGUGGCGAGUGGCGGACGGGUGAGGAAUACAUCGGAAUCUACUUUUUCGUGGGGGGUAACGUAGGGAAACUUACGCUAAUACCGCAUACGACCUACGGGUGAAAGCAGGGGAUCUUCGGACCUUGCGCGAUUGAAUGAGCCGAUGUCGGAUUAGCUAGUUGGCGGGGUAAAGGCCCACCAAGGCGACGAUCCGUAGCUGGUCUGAGAGGAUGAUCAGCCACACUGGAACUGAGACACGGUCCAGACUCCUACGGGAGGCAGCAGUGGGGAAUAUUGGACAAUGGGCGAAAGCCUGAUCCAGCCAUACCGCGUGGGUGAAGAAGGCCUUCGGGUUGUAAAGCCCUUUUGUUGGGAAAGAAAAGCAGCAGGUUAAUACCCCGCUGUUCUGACGGUACCCAAAGAAUAAGCACCGGCUAACUUCGUG